GGAGGGCUACUGCAGUGUUGCAUGAUCACCACUUCUUAAACUCUUCUUUUUUAGACCAAUUUAUAAUACAAGGUACAGUAACUCUUAUUUUAUCAAGAAGACCAUGUUUACUGUAUAUUUACCAAGACCAGCAAUGUAGAUAUUUACAUAUACACUCACUCCCACUUAAUGGGACCUUCAUGUUUUGAGACCAUGUUUAAAAUUGCAAGACUAACCAUGCAGUACACAGUAUAUUAGGUAUUGUAGACAGGAAAUCUUGAAAAAUAAAAGGAGUUCUACAGGUAUAUAGUUCAUUUUCAUUUAUUAUACACCUCAUAUAUGUUGGUUUACAAUAAUAGUCCAGAAGUUUUAUACAGAAAGAUUACAAAAGAACUUGUCAAAUUGCCUUAUUGUUCUGUGUUAAACCUGCUCUGUGUAGGUAAUUAAGUUUACUAGACAUUCGGGUAGUCUUAUGUUAUCAAUUAAAACUUUAAUUAUCUAGUAUUAGUGUAGGAGGAAAUCAGAGAACUUGUAAUGGUUGGUAAUGUCACGAUAAAAUUUUUCUCUUAUCUCGAGAUAAGCACAUUGCCACUACUAUGCACAUUUCUUCUCGGCAGAUACAUUGUGAUGGAGGUAUCAUCACGCUUUCACAAUCUCAAGUAUUUCCCAAUUCAACGUCUAUAAUGGACUCCACUUAAGGCAAAACAGACUUCCAUUCAACAUUUGGUGUGCAGUGUCCAGAUUGUCAACAUUCCAUAUCCAUACACUUGAGCACACUCCUAUAACAAAUUACGCGGUGAGCAGCAGUCUUCUCACAGGCAUCAUCCACAACAUUCCUUCACAGUACAUGCCAUUUUACUCAGAUAAAUUUAUAAAAUUCACUAUUAACCAUUGUAUGAGCACACCACUACCGCCCGUGCACGAGUACCCUCCACUGCCCAACGUACGAGCGUCCCAACCCUUCUCACAAAGCAAGUCACUCUUUUUCAUUCUUACAUUGUGGGUUUUAGGAUAGCUAUACAAAGACACAGGUAACUUAAGGUAACUUAACUGGGGAGGCUGAAUUAACAUGUGUUACAUCUUGCUCAAGGUUGGCUCCGUCACUUCCUCUAUGUUGGCCUUUAAGUAAAUCAUCUGUCACCUGCAAUAUUUUUCGAGUUAUUUCUGUAAAAUGAAGGUUAAACCUACAAUAUCCUUCUACCACUAGACCUCCUGUACUUUGACUCCAACUGUACACAAUUUAUCAA